UAUAAGUACAUUUGCGAGUUUCCGUGUACAACGUUUGACCAUCCAUUUUAUUUGAAAAAAAAUUAUGAUUAGUAUUUUUGUUGUUUUUAGAUGAUAAAACAUGAAUAAAACUUUUAGUGUGAUUUUUUUUAUUUUUUUUAUAAUUUUUUUAAAUAAGACGGACGGUCAAACGUUGAACACAGAAAAUCACAAUUGCAUUUAUA
rfam:Oryza rufipogon genomic scaffold, chr03